rnacentral:rRNA from 1 species
CACGUAGGGGACGAGCGUUGUCCGGAUUCAUUGGGCGUAAAGCGCGCGUAGGCGGCUCGGAAAGUCGGUCGUGAAAUGCCGGGGCUCAACCCCGGGACUGCGUCCGAUACUUCCGGGCUGGAGGUAGGUAGGGGAGAUCGGAAUUCCUGGUGUAGCGGUGAAAUGCGCAGAUAUCGAGAGGAACACCUGCGGCGAAGGCGGGUUGCUGGGCCGACACUGACGCUGAUGCGCGAAAGCCAGGGGAGCGAACGGG